CGCGGCGUGGAGCAGUGGUAGCUCGUUGGGCUCAUAACCCAAAGGCCGGAGGUUCGAUCCCUUCCCCCGCUA
rnacentral:tRNA from 1 species